AUUCUGGAGAAAUAAAACUAAACAUAUCGUAGAUAGCUCAAAAAAGAAUUAUUAUAAAAAUAUGGUAAAAGACUCCAAUGACCCUAAAACUUUAUGGAAAUGUCUUCACAGUCUGAACCCAAAAGUUAAAAAUACACCAUAUGAGUUAGCCACAGAAGAUAACAAUACAACUAAAAGUAAAAAAUCAAUAGCAGAAACUUUUAAUAACUUUUUCACUUCCUGUGCUGAAAAAUUAAGAGAACAAGGAAGUUAUACACCUGUAAACAAAGCAGAUUUCAGUAAUCUUGUUGAUGAAUGAAUUCUUAGAUUUGCUAUCAGUAAUCCAUAAAUAGAAGCACACAACGACCAAUCAGGAUUGUUAUAUCAAAACAUCCGGAUUGUUGUAUAAUAUUGAUCUAGAAAGCUCAAUAGCUCCGCCUGUAUGAAAAAAACCUAACCAGACUGUAGAUCUUUGACGUGAGGUUGAUUAGAGAUAAACACUUGAUCCACUGAACCUGUAUGACAUUAUAUAAGUCAUGGCUUGUGGACGUUUUUUGAAUUUCCAGCCUAUCGACGAACCCUCAUGGCGAAAGCGUGAUAAAAGAUAUGAAUGUGUACCAACGGUCAAUGAAAUGAUUAAAGAUAUUGUAAAGUAUCAUGAAAUGUGGGAAACGAAAAAGAAAAAUCAGGCAAAAACAGCUUUGCAGAAGUAAAACGUUCAAUGGUAUUGGAGUUCCUUUUCCGUGUUCAGCAAGGUGAAGGUAUUGGACUAAAUGACCAAGGAACAUUUGAAGAAGUUUUCAAUGCCGAAAUGAAAACCUUUGAAAAACGUGGACGUAAACGAGAUCGUUCGGAGUCUGAAGAAGAUUCAACAGGUAAAAAAAUCCGUAAAGAGUUAUUGAGCAAAGAACUAGUAAACGAACAAGCCAGUAAUGAACAAGUAAAGGAAUAAGAAAGUUUACCAAACUGCUUGGAAACUGAAGAUUAUAUUUUAGAAAAUUCGGUAAACAAAGUCAAUAGUGAAGACAAUAAAAAAACUGAAACCAUAAAUUUACUGCGUGGUUACUGGCAUUUAAAAAAUGAAUGGAAAAAAUUAUCAGAUAAAGAACAAUCUGUUUAUGAUGGUGCAAUUGAUGUCGAGACAUGCAUACAGGAAUGUCAUGAAAUUUUGAUGCAUGAUUUGCUCGAUGAAAACAAAACUCCACCUGGGAAAUUUAGCGUUCUUCCCCGAUCAACGAGUUUUGCUGGACAGGAAUUUCAUUAUCCGUCUUAUGCAACGGAAGGAAUUGCGUUUCAAGCAGUUGAUACACUUGUUAUGGAGUAUAACAAGAUGUUGGUGGAAAUAUCAAGAAAUGAAAAUAAACGUGAGAAAUUGGAAUGUUUUCUUAAAUGUGCUACUGUAAUGCUUUUUGGGUUUUUAACACUUCAUCCAUUCUCUGAUGGGAACGGGCGACUUGCUCGAUUAUUAUGCAGUAAUUGCUUAAAAUUAUUCUGUCCUUUCCCAACUGCGAUUUAUGACGUGUUUUCUCCGUCAAACAGAGAUGAUUAUUUAACGGCACUUAUUAACGCUGCUCAUGGUUUAGAAAUAGGCAGUGAUCAAAUAAAAUAUGAAGAAGAUGCCACGAAAGAAGCUGAGUUAAUUUUAGAACAGAAACCAAAAGAACUUAGUUCUCUUAUUAUAGAAAGUAACUGGUUUACAUGGCGACAGUUUCUACAUAGAAUAGGGGUGGACGUUAAACUUUUUGAAUUUGAAAAGAAGACCCAGGAAAUAAGUGCAUCGUAACAUACUUUUUAUCUAAACUGUAUCGAUCACAUCAAUGGAGAUGUUCCUUGUUAAAUUUAUCUUUUACUAUCACUUUUAUGCGCAACAUCCGUUUUCGAAAUCAGGAUAUUAAAUUGCAUCAUAAGGAAAAGAUUGAUUGAAUUUCUCUAUAAAUGUCUUUUUAUUGAAUUUUUAUGAAAAAAUGAUACGAACUACUUAUAUGUAAUAAAAUAGUUUACACAGGAGUAUACGUUAUUGAUAAAGUACAUUUUGAAGACAUCUAUAAUAAAACAUUAUCUUGAUAAACGGUAAACAAUUCAAACAUAUCAUUGAAAUAAUAAUAGCGUUAAACCAAAUGUAAUUCAUUAUUUGUAUCAUUGAGAUAAUAAAACCGUAAAACCACAUGAAAUUUGUUAUUUGUGUGUUAAACACUGCAUUUCUACAAUUCUGUGAUAGUUUAUUCCGAUGUAUAUUGUUCACAUCGACGGUAGCUUGUUGCAAAGCUUAUUGAUAUAUUGGCGAGUGUUUGAAUUAGUAAGCGGGAUGCUUUUACAUUUUAUUAGAAAAGUUAACAAAAACAAACCUCCAUUUUUUUGGAGAUUCUAAAUUAGAGACAACAGUUCGUUACCGCUGUUCAAAUCCCAUAAAUCCCUAAAGAAGAUGUGAAUUAAGGAAAAAACAAUAGCUAAGGAAAUCGUAUGAUCUUCAAGUGGAGCGAACCGGUAGCGUCGAUAGGGAAAAGUCUCCUGCUAUGCAUGCAUCAACCGUCAUGCGAUUCUGCACUCAGUCAAAAUGUCACAAUCUGGAAUUUGACAAACGAGGUAGAUGUACAGAUUAUUAUAAAUUGUUGAUGGUGACCUUUAACGGAAUAAAGUGUCGAUUUCACUGGGUUUCCUUCAUAACUCUGUUUGAGCAGUUUUGUUUAAAGAGGCAGAGAGUAAUGCUGUGUAAAACAUUCAAGUAGUACAUUUACUUAGUACAUUAACUUAUUUGCUAGAUUUAUAAAUAUUAUUAUAGGUAAUUGUAAUCUCUCUCAAAGAACGAUUAAAUUAUUCAGUUAAAUAAAAAAGAUAUUGGGGCGAUGAAAUCUUACAAAUCAGAGGGGUUGGAAAUCAUUGGAAAAAGUAAAAUUCUUUUUUGGAGAAAUUUUUUUCCUUAGUUUUCCAAAAUAGAUGCCAGAUAUGAUGGAAAAUGAAAAUGAUGCCAUAAACAUCUUGGGUUAACCCAAGUUUAGAUACUAUAUUAAGAAAGUACAAAUGGUUCGCGGAUUUAGUGUUAAAAUUGAUUUAACACGUGAUAGUUUAUUGUACGCUGAUUCCAAAAAUACAUGAUUUCUAUACAUUUUUUUCAAAAUAAGGGAGAUAAGUUGUUACUUCCGGUUUGAAAGAUGUCACUUCCGGUUUUAUUUGAUAGUUUACUUGAUACUGAUUCCAAAAAUAUAUGGUUUAAUAUACUUUUACAUUACAUAAGUACAAAAAAUAGCUACUUCCGGUUUACACAAGGUCACUUCCGGUUGGCUUUUCCAUGGUCAAGUGGCUUGCAACGUAAUGCAAAAAGUCCUAUGGCUUUAUCACGUAUACAUUGUACUAACGAGGAAAAAGCAAAGGUCAAAAUCUAGAACGUCAAAUUUACUUAUGACCUUUAGCUCAAUUUCAAGGUCAUAAACCGAGGGCUUCAAAUCAAAAGACCAUAGGUCUUAAUUAUAUAUGGUUAAUGAGUUAUAUCACUUUACGCCUAAUUUUUAACAUAAGAGGGGAGAAAACUCCAAUUUAAUGUUAGCGUACCAUUUCAACCAAAAUUUAUGUGUUACGACAUGUCGCAACUUACAAUUUAGUAAAAAUAUCUUGUCGAUAUCUUAUACGGUUUUUGAAAAGAAGUGAAAAUAAGCCAAAAUCAAAAUCAAGUCUAUGUCAGAAAUAUGCUUGUGAAUUUUCCCAGGUAUAAUGACUCAGGUGUCACCAUCUAAAAAGUGAUACUGGUCUAAUUUUCAGUUACCAUGGUAUUGAAAACAAUUUUUUCUCUUUUCACUUCAUUUGAUGAAUAUGCAUUAACAUAAAGAAUGUCUCAUGUAUUGUGUAUAUAUACAUUAUUUUUUGUAUAACAUUCCGAUAUUUCCAUUAUAAAAUGUUUGAAAUAUGUCUGAUGUUUUUGUAUAUGAAUUAAAAGACAAUUUAUAAGUACAAGAGUCCUUUACAUUUGGCUUUAAUUUUAAUAGAGACUUAUGGUACAUGUGUAAAAUCAACAUUGUAAAAAUUGUUUUCUUUAUACAGGAGGUGAUGAAAUGUUUAAAUAUAUAUUCAUAGAUUGACAUAAUUGAACAACAUUAGAAAAAGGAAAUGAAAAAGCUUACCAAUUUAUAACAAAAUACAACUUGAAACAUGUUUAGAACAAUUAUUUAAUGUUACUAGGCAUUAUCUUAUAAGAUUAUGCAUUUGCAUCAUUACACACUUAAUCUGUCAUGAUUCUGUUGUUUAUGAUUUAAUUGGAAACACUUUGCACAAAUUUGGACUUUUAUCUUACAGAAAAAUUUAACAGCAACAAUUUAUGCACCAAUUUCAAAACAUAGAUACAAUGUAUACAACAAUAAAAUGAUUCUUUUAUGAAAAUAAUUUGGUUACUCAGGAUAUAAUGUAAAACGGUGCUAUUUUUAUACCCCCCCAUGAUCAGUGAUCAGUCAAAUGUUUUUGCCUUUGCAUGUCCAUCUGGUUCAAAUAAGUUUUGCAUUUAAGUUAAUUUUUCAGAACUAUAAGAUAGUAUAUCAAUGAUGUUUCAGUGAUGUAAUUUUGAAUAUGAUACAAUAGAAUUCUGUUAGUGAAUGAUGUAGUUUUUUUUGCAGUACCUCUGUAGUAUAACUGUUGACUAGUGUUUAUUCUAAGUUUGAUGUGCCAACAUGAUACAAAACACUGAAUUCUAAUUAUACAAAUUAUAGCUUUUAAUCACUGUCUUCAUUUUGAAUAAACAGUAAACAGUUUAUGCUCUCAUGAAUUCCAAUUACAUGAUACAUCAAUUAAAGAAUAAAAAAUUCCCUUAUGGAUAAUGCAUGGUUAAAAUUUAUUAAGAUUGACCAGUAAUUUGAAAUUAUUGAAAAUCAGUACCAUAACCAUUUCUUAUUUUUAAAAAUUUAACCAGAAAAGAGUUUUAUGUUGCUAUUUUGAUUUGUAUUACAUUCUCAAGAUACUCUAUCAAAAGACAAAUGAUGUAAAAGUUGUAGCAAUCAUAGGUUUGAGUCUCAUUCUUUUAAGAGUGAAAAAUAUUUUUCAUAGCAAUGUCAUAGUUCAGAAAGGUAUAAAAGAAAAAAAAUCCCAAGAAAUGAUAUUUACAAAAAUUUAUAAAUAAUUACUAAAAUGAUUACUACUUGAAGAAAGUUGAAUCCAUAAUGGAAAAAGAUUUCAUGAAUAUAAUUUGACUACAGUAACUAUGCUAUUAAUUCUUUUUUAGAUGUUAAUUUUUUUAUGUUGAAUAUAUUCUUGCACUUAAAACACAGUAAAUCAUUGAAAUUUUUAUUUGUUUGUGAGACGAAAUAUUGUUGUAUUCAUUCAUUAUUCAUUUUAUUUUCAUUUCAUUGGAAAUCAUUUCAAUAAUUGAAAUCAAAGCUGUUAAGAACGUGCAAUUGUUUUACAAUAUGAUGUACAUAGUUACUAACUUUAUGGUUUUAGCCAAAGUCAUCAGUUUAUUGAGAGAUGAUUUUAUGAGUUGUAUAUACAAACUAUAUAUGAUAUAAAUAUACUGUACAUUCUUUCACACCAUUUGAUUGUUGUCUCAGUACAAAUCACAUGCAUUUAUGUCCGUCCAUAUAUUCACAAUGCAUGGUCAUAUCGGGUAAGAAUAAAAUGCGCACUUUUUUAUAAUUUUUCAAAUUAUAAGGAGGUUGGGUUAAGGAAAUGAUAGUUAAAAGAAUGACCUUGAACAUUCUAAUCAGUAUGGGUCCUUAAUUUAACUAUUAACCAUCUUAAAGCAGAUGUUGCUGUCAGUGCUACAAUCAAAUUAGCCUGGAUUGGAUUGAUAUGUCCAGAAGUGUAAUUAGUUGAAAACUCACUUCAAAUAUUUAGAAUGACAAAAAUUUACUUGCUUGUACAGUGAGGUAUUUUUCCUCAAUCCCAAUGUAAAUAUUGUUUUCAAUGUGCAUUGUUUGAAAGAAUGUAUAGUAUAUCUACUGCAAGUUAUGAAUGAAUGCAUUAUUGUAUAUUUGAUUAUCACGCCAAUGUUGAUAUGAUUAAUAAUUAUUUAUUAUGUAUAUAGUCAUAGAUGGAUUCUAUGCGACAAAUAAAUUUUUACAGACAUAAAUGAAA